AAAAAAUCAAAAAUAAAACCCUGAAGGAAAAGCAGAAACAAAACCCCCAGAGCAUCUUCUCCACCCCUCCCCUUCUCCCAAAGCCCAAUAAUAACUGUACAAUAUUAUAGUCCUGAUCACAUUUAAAAACAGUUGAUUAUUAAAAAAACACGGAUUUCAUUGGAAACUCAACUUUUUGGUUUCUUAAAGUGUGAUAUAAAUAUAUAUGUAUAUUGUAUGUGUGCACAUAGAAUAAA
rnacentral:lncRNA from 1 species